rnacentral:rRNA from 1 species
UGGGGAAUAUUGGGCAAUGGGCGCAAGCCUGACCCAGCCAUGCCGCGUGAGUGAUGAAGGCCUUCGGGUCGUAAAGCUCUGUGGGGAGGGAAGAAACCUCUCGUAGCUAAUAUCUACGGGAUUUGACGGUACCUCCUUAGCAAGCACCGGCUAACUCCGUGCCAGCAGCCGCGGUAAUACGGAGGGUGCAAACGUUGCUCGGAAUCAUUGGGCGUAAAGCGCACGUAGGCGGCCUGAUAAGUCGGAUGUGAAAGCCCUGGGCUCAACCCAGGAAGUGCAUUCGAAACUGCCAGGCUUGAAUAUGGAAGAGGGUCGCGGAAUUCCCGGUGUAGAGGUGAAAUUCGUAGAUAUCGGGAGGAACACCAGUGGCGAAGGCGGCGACCUGGGCCAAUAUUGACGCUGAGGUGCGAAAGCGUGGGGAGCAAACAGGAUUAGAUACCCCCGUAGUCC